CACGUAGGCGGAUUAAUAAGUUUGAAGUGAAAUCCUAUAGCUUAACUAUAGAACUGCUUUGAAAACUGUUAAUCUAGAAUGUGGGAGAGGUAGAUGGAAUUUCUGGUGUAGGGGUAAAAUCCGUAGAGAUCAGAAGGAAUACCGAUUGCGAAGGCGAUCUACUGGAACAUUAUUGACGCUGAGAUGCGAAAGCGUGGGGAGCAAACA
rnacentral:rRNA from 1 species